rnacentral:snRNA from 1 species
GCCGGCGAUGCGUCCUGGUCGG